rnacentral:tRNA from 1 species
ACCUGGCUGGCUCAGUUGGUGGAGGAUGUGAUUCUCAAUUUUGAGGUUGUGGGUUUGAGCCCCAUGUUGGGUG